rnacentral:lncRNA from 1 species
GCUUCCAUAAAGGCUAUGUUUUCACAUGUAGAUUAAGUAAGAUUAAAGUCAUUGCCAAAAAACUUUGGCAAUACAGACAUCUACUUUACCCAAGUCAUCAUGGAUCAGUGGAAGGAACAUUUAAUGAAAUAUUGGGGUCCCUGGGGUCUAGAAUUUUUCUGAUGUUAACUUCCACUAUCUUUUUCUGAAGUCUUCAAACAGUUUGUACCAAAAGUUUCUCCUCUAUAAAAAUGAUAGUUUAAGUGAACCUAUCUCUAAAGUCUCUGAUAACUUUAAAAUUCCAUGCUUCAAAGAAAAUUAUUUCCCCUUAAGGUAGUUUCCUGAUAAUGGAAUAAUUUUUUCCAGCCAUACAUUUGCUACAGAAAAGACAGAGUGACCUCCCCACUUUUGUAUAAGUAGCUCUUCUCUUCAUAAAGAAUUUAGUAGUAUCAGACUCUUUGAGGCUGAAACCAUACAACAAAUGAAGCAUCAGCCCUGGUACCCAGGGCACACCUUUUUUGUGGAAACAUUAGCUCCGAUUUGCAGAUUCCCCUGGGGCUGUGGAGUUAGUCUCAGGAGCUUCAUCAUGAUAGAGUGGAUCCCAUAAAUCAUCACCUUGUACAAGGUAUGUGUACUGAAUUAUAUCUGUCUCAUACGAUCUUUCCCAUGGGGUUCUUUAAAUGCCUAACAAUCCGAACUAAAGCCAUCUGUCCUCCACCUUUCCAACUCAUAAGGCAUAUUCUGUCAACACAGGUCUUACACAGACUCAGGAGUCAAAUAAGUUGGGAACACUUGAGCAUGAACAGCCACUAGAUCUGGUUCAUGAGCUAUUCCUUCCAUGUCUGCAGCCCCACCUCCUGUUUUCAGCUUCUCCGUACCCCUAGGAUGAUAUUCCCUUGCCUUGCCAAGGAGUCUACAUGGAUCACAACCAACUUUAGCUUGAAAACAUCAGUAAUUCCCAUGAUGACAUUGAUCGUUGAAAUAGAUGGGAGGGUGUACUGAUGCAAAUGAAGACAGAUUCAGGGGGAAAAAAACUUGAAACAUUAUGGAAAUUACAGAGUAAAAAUGUAAAAUGCCUAAUCAUAGAUAUUCAAAAGAAUGGAAAUCCAUAUCUAAGCAAUAUGGAAAUGCAGGCAGUAUGUUUUAACAAAGAAAAGAAGAUAAUGAGGUAAUUGUGUCUAUGUAUAGUUGCAUAUAUAAUAUAUCAUAUAGAUAGUCUAUUAUUGACUCUACCAAAAAGCUGAAUAAAAGACAUGAAAAUCAUAGAACGCUUUCAAAUGAAACAUGCAGCCCUUGUUAUCUAAAAAAAAAAAAAUGAUUGCAAUGAGAAAUUAUAUACAUAAAAAGUAGGGAGAGGCUUCUGGUUUGAAUACCAACGAGAAAAGAGCAUUUAUAUGCUUCAUUUUAUAGAAAAUUUAACCAUGGAUGCAUUUCUUUCACAAACGAUCAGAAGAUGCAAGUGACAUAUCCCAGGCUAUCCCUAGCACUGGAACACACAUACACAGAAAUGAUAAAGUGACUGCUGGUCAAUGACUGAAGGGAAGGAGGGUCAAUGACUAGAGGUCUGUAGGGAGAGAGCCUCAGAUUGGCAGUGGGCACUGUGAAGUACUGUUCCCAAUGUCAAUCGUUCAUAAGUCAAGCACUAUUACUGAAACUGAAAGGUCGAGAAAAAACCCUUGAGCCCCGAUUUCCAUCUGCCAGCGUCUCCUUUUCUUCCAUAUCAAUCUAAAUAUGUCUAGGCUGUCUUCAUUACAGAAUAAUCUCUUCUCUGCUACCUGUAAGACUG